rnacentral:rRNA from 1 species
GAUGAACGCUGGCGGCGUGCUUAACACAUGCAAGUCGAACGGUGAACGAGGGAGCUUGCUCCCUCCGGAUCAGUGGCGAACGGGUGAGUAACACGUGAGCAAUCUGCCCUGGACUCUGGGAUAAGCGUUGGAAACGACAUCUAAUACCGGAUACGAGGCGUGGGGGCAUCCCCAACGCCUGGAAAGAACUUCGGUCCAGGAUGAGCUCGCGGCCUAUCAGCUUGUUGGUGAGGUAACGGCUCACCAAGGCGACGACGGGUAGUCGGCCUGAGAGGGUGACCGGCCACACUGGGACUGAGACACGGCCCAGACUCCUACGGGAGGCAGCAGUGGGGAAUAGUGCACAAUGGGCGCAAGCCUGAUUCAGCAACGCCGCGUGAGGGACGACGGCCUUCGGGUUGUAAACCUCUUUUAGCAGGGAAGAAGCGAAAGUGACGGUACCUGCAGAAAAAGCACCGGCUAACUACGUGCCAGCCGCCGCUGUAAUAC